UACGAAGGGGGCUAGCGUUGCUCGGAAUCACUGGGCGUAAAGCGCACGUAGGCGGGUCGUUAAGUCGGGGGUGAAAUCCUGGAGCUCAACUCCAGAACUGCCUUCGAUACUGGCGAUCUUUGAGUCCGGGAGAGGUGGGUGGAACUGCGAGUGUAGAGGUGAAAUUCGUAGAUAUUCGCAAGAACACCAGUGGCGAAGGCGGCUCACUGGCCCGGUACUGACGCUGAGGUGCGAAAGCGUGGGGAGCAAACAGG
rnacentral:rRNA from 1 species